AUAACCCAGCAGUCGUCUAAUUCUAGUAGCAUCUGCAUCAUCUCUAGAUUCAAGAAAUACGCAAACUCAAUAUGAAUUACAAUAUAUUAGUGUUAAUUGCCGUCAUUUUGGCAGUCAAUGUGGAUGUGGCCAAGGCUAAUUUGUGGGACAGCAUAAAAGAUACAUUUGAAGACAUAAUUGACGCAAUUAAAGACUUAUUCUCAUAAGAUAAGUUAGUGAACGUGUCAGUCUUAAAUGCAUUGAAUUGUAAACCAAAUGAUAUUUAAAUAAAAAAAAUGGAAUUUCUCUUUAAAAGAAAUUCUUUUACAUAGACAACUUCA